rnacentral:rRNA from 1 species
UCUCCUACGGGAGGCAGCAGUGAGGAAUAUUGGUCAAUGGAGGCAANUCUGAACCAGCCAAGUCGCGUGAAGGAAGACNGUCCUAUGGAUUGUAAACUUCUUUNGUAGGNGAGUAAANGUAGGUACGUGUACCUANUGCAAGUANC